rnacentral:tRNA from 1 species
GCUAGCGUGGCAGAGCUUGGCAAAUGCAAAAGGCUUAAGCCCUUUAUUCAGAGGUUCAAGUCCUCUCCCUAGCU